AACGUAGGAGACAAACGUUAUCCGGAGUUACUGGGCGUAAAGCGUGCGUAGGUGGUUUGUUAAGUCUGAUGUGAAAGCCCUGGGCUCAACCUGGGAAUUGCAUUGGAUACUGGCAGGCUAGAGUGCGGUAGAGGGUAGUGGAAUUCCCGGUGUAGCAGUGAAAUGCGUAGAGAUCGGGAGGAACAUCUGUGGCGAAGGCGACUACCUGGACCAGCACUGACACUGAGGCACGAAAGCGUGGGGGAGCAAACAGG
rnacentral:rRNA from 1 species